rnacentral:misc_RNA from 1 species
AAUUUGUUCGAGAGACGUCUCAACGCCAUCUGAUCAUUGUAACAUCAUUACUCUAUCACUCUUCUCCCUCUCCCUUCGCCCUGGGGAGCCCCCUUCUCCCAAUUCUUCUUGCUUCUCUGUGCACGCAGAGACUGAAACCCCCAUCACAAGGCAACACGCUAUCAGCAACCACGACUAACCACCCCGCUCCUUCUAUGUUCGCUUUUUUCCCCCUUCUUGGUUAUUCCCGGGUAUGAUACGCUUCAUGCAGUCGCCUUUCUGUACUUCCCUUUCUUUCGUGCAUUUGCCUUCUAUUUUCAGCAUCACUCACCGUAUUUUGAACGCUAGCACGUUUUCGUCUUUCUGAUUCUACCCUCUUCUUACUAUCUCCACGUGCCCUUGGCUGCGAGACAGGCAAAGCAAAAGCGGAAGGGCCAAGCUACGCAUGAAACUGUCGUUAAGUUUGUGAGUGUGCGGCCACUCUCUUCUACGCUUCUCUUGCGUUUGUCUCUCUCUCUCCCUUUCUUGUUCGCCUCCGUUCUUGCUUUCUUGUCACACUUUCGCAGUACACAGCGGACAGAGGAGCCGCAUACGCGCCCACUAACUCACGAGCCCCCCCCCCCCGCUCUCCACUCACACGCCUUACGGAUCGGAAUCGUGGGCCAUUGUCACCAGUGCGUCAUCCCUCGAAUCCGCUGUCAGUCGCACCAUUCCUCGCCAGCCUUCUUUUUCUUUUUUAUUUGAUGUUUUGUUUUUGAUUGUUUUCCCCUUCCUGCUCUUUGGGCCCUUUCCUUUUUGUGUGUGUAUGUGAUACAUCUCGCUUCUUCUCUGAUUGUUCGUCCUCUCUUUGUCCGCCUGUUCUCUGUUUCGUUCUGUGCUCCCUUUCUCUGUACUUGUGCUUGCGCGCGUCGACUUGUUGGCGCUCUGAGUGAAGUUGCUGAAUUUGCGCCUCGUCGCCGCGUGCCAUCUUUUGAACGGUCGAGCGCAAGCGAUAUAGGGUGUGUGAGCUACGUAGAGUCACACUCAUCUACACGUACAUACACGGGCAAGCCCCUUCAUCGUUGCCGCACUCUUCAGUGGCGGCUAAGAGACACGGUUGGAUAAAGGAACAACGGCACGCACGCACACGCCUGCGUACGUGCGUGCGCUAGCCCACGGUUACAUCCUGGCAUUGCCGCGGUGCCAUCUCUUUUUGCCAUUGCACGGCCCUCUCCCUCCCUACGUCUCGGAGAACCAUUCCAAGCUCGAUUCGCCAUGACGAAAUCUUUCUCACCGCCCCUGGACGGCUCCUCGCAGAGCAUGUCGGCGAAGAGUGAGCAUCUGUGGAUGCAUGGCGUUGCAGGCAUGAUGGGCGGGUCAGCCGCGAUGAUGAUGUUUUACCCGCUCGACUUCCUACGCACUCGCAUGCAUAUCCUUCAUCAGGGAAGCCGCGCGAUGCCGCUUCGCUCCGCUCGUGAGAUUUUGCGUCAGGAAGGUUUGCGCGGCAUGUACAAGGGCAUCGGUGUGUCUGUCGUUUCGCACAGCGUCGGCUGGGGACUCUACCUGGUCACCUUCCGCUCCGCGCAGCAGCGCAUCACGGAGUUACUCGACGAAAAGCUGGAGGACUCCAUGAUUGAGCAGUCCGGUCUCGAUUUCAUGAGCGCGUGCGUCGCGGCCACUAUCACGGGCACCGUCGUCACGCCGCUCCACGUCAUCAAGACACGCCGCCAGCUGUGCGACGGCGACCGCCUUCACGGCGGCGUCCGUGUGCAACCGCUUCCGUCCGGUUUCGCUGGGGUGAGAGCGAUUGCGCGGCAGGAGGGAUGGAGAGCCAUGUUCCGCGGACUGUGGCCUCAAAUACUGCUUACCGGCAACACCACCAUCCAAGUGACCAUAUACGAGUGGUUCCGGCGUAACCUGUUCACCAACCACGAAAAUCCCUCGCCGCUGCAGGUGGCACUGGCCUCCGGCUUUUCCAAGGCAGUAGCCUGUGCCCUCUUCAACCCCCUCGAGGUCGUGCGGACUUGCCUACAGGAUCAACGUAACCACGGCAGUCCGGAGUACAAGAGCAUGCUGACGGGCUUGCAGACUAUCUGGCGCAGUGAGGGGCUCAUCGGCAUGUACCGCGGCCUUCCCGUGAAUGUGGCACGCGUCAUCCCGUCAACGAUGAUGGCGUUUGUGCUGUACGAGAAGUGCCUGUGGGCGAUUCGCGCGACGUACCAGAUGGCUGAGUCGCUGCAUGUUACAGGCGCUGCAACCUCGAGCACCAGCACUGCCUUCAAAGGCGGUUCCUCUGCCAGCAAUAUCAGCACUGCGAGCGGCAGCAAGACAGGUUUUGCUGUGGGAAAGCCUCAGUUUCAGUAGUCUGAUUUCACACCGCUCGCAUGUCCCGCAAACGGCGGCUCAGGACUUCGCAGAUGAAGAAGUGAAGCUGCGCAAAACGAUCAAUGAGAAAGAAGCGGGUGAGUUGGACACGUGCCAGAAAGCGAGUCACGACCAGAUAUCAAGGAACGCUAGUGCGCGAUGUGCGCCACGAGGGGAAGCCACUGCUUCCCUUCUAAUCCGCCAAUGCGUGUCGUCUUUGGUGGGGCGGAGCACGUCUACGAAAUGCAAGACGCUUCGUCAUGUGCGCUUUCACACGAGCAGGAGAUUCCCACAAACGGAAGAGAGCGACGCAUUGGAGGGCACAAUGUAGUCGUCCGAAAAAGAGGAGAUGCGAGGGGGAGACCAGAGACACGCGCGCAAGACCACGAAAACGGUCGUUCCUUUGCAGCGAGUCCAUUCUCUGCCACACAACAGGAGUCAAGCUUCAUUCUACCCGUCGACUGUGUCUCGGGUUUCAUCGCGUGGCGGAAAACAGCGCCAGACACGCCUCACAGCAGUGCACCCACACAGUGGCCUGAGCACGACCCGCGCCCCAUAUUCAGCCACCCACUCGCCAAGCGGGUCGCUUCACAGCUACUCCCAUUUUGCCGGUCGCCAGCUGGUGCAUCCCCGUCGGGGUGACGCGCAGGCGCCAUACACCAGUAGGCAGUGUGAGGGCCGGGGACGGGAUACGUUCCAGCCACGCUGAUGCUCUGCCCACCACAUAGAUGGCACGAAUGUAUCCACUGCCGCAGGAGGCUUCGACGCAAACGCCAUCCAGGGCCUGAGAGCCGGCAUCAGCAGCGACACACCGCCCUGACCCCUCCCCUAGGCCGUAGGUGCCUGCCCUUGUCAUCACCAGAGGUGGUUCGGCAUCUUGGCGGGAGGGGGUGGGUGGGUGGGCUGCUUGGCUUCCUCACACACGGAGUGGGUGGUGCACUGGCCCCUGAGAUGCCACACGCAUUGAGGUGUUCCCUUGUCUUUGGAGGUGUUUCUGUGUGUGUGGAGGGAGGACGAGUCACAGAGGAAAGUAAGAAGAAGCGGGAAAGUGAAUGAGAAGGCAAAGGCACAGAGGGCCAUGACAAGUGAGAUAUCAACUGUAUGAUCUUCGUCUUUUCAUUGUGAGAGGAGGCAAGUCCCGAAUAAGUGAAUGGUGUGGCCUGUGCGAAGGUUGUCAUGGAAGAUGUCUGACGACGGUGGUGCGUUUCUCCUGUUUCGUCUACUGUGGUGCGUGCCGGUGAUAGGUAGCAUGCGUGUCUUCCUUUGUAAUUCGCAAGCAAGGGAAAGAGAAGUUAGGCACAGCAACUCCGCCGCGAACGGAAAGCAUCCAGCUCGCAGCUGGGCAGACACUCGUGGACAAGUCGAUGCAUCCGUGUGACGCGGCAAGGAGGGGGAGAGCUCACCGUAAUGAGGACAACAGUCGUGCACUGUCAUACGGCGGGGGAGAGAAUAUAUGAAAGAGUGUGUGAUCACGUUUGUGGCAACCGCCGCUCUCCCUCUCCCCGACCCGGCGACUUCCCAAUAUAUGAGCAUGACGGGCGCAAAUGUGGCCCUGCUCGAGGGGUGCAUGCUCCACAGAUUCUUUUUGUAGCGAAUGUGUGUGUGUGCGUUUUUGCGCUUGUCGUGGUGUACAGUUGUGACGUGCUUUUGAGUUUGCGAGCAAGUGAGAGUGCGUUGGUGGUGGUGGGGAGUCGCACGCACCCUGCCCCCCCCCCCCACACACACACACCUUUUUUUUCAGCUGUCUGCCUUCGUUGCUUGUUUUUUUUUUAGUGUAUGAGUUCCUAUGGUGCUUACACGGUAUCAUGUAAAAUGGAAACCCGAAGAAGCAGAAGAAGAGCAGCAAAGGAAAGUCACAAAACGAAAAAAAAAACAGGAGGAGAAGAGGGAGGAGGAAAAGGCAGGGGCUGCCCAACCGAAAACAGCCAGUAUUGACACCCACGCACAAAGCUCACCGACUUCCUUAAACGCGAAACAGUGAGGAGGGAUAGGCAGCAACGCCACGUUGUCUAUAGUACUCGGAAAGGAAACAACAGCGACAACAACGCAAUAAAAUACUUGACCCGUAUACUCUCGCCCACGAACAGGGCCCUUUCCUGUUUUUGUUUCGGUUUUUCUUAUUGGUUUCUUUUUUUUUCCUGAAUGUGUCCGUGUGUGCCUUGCAAGUGUGAUUGAUUCUCUCUUUUGCUUUGUGUUGAUCAAGUGACGUUUCUGUCGUCCUCGCGUUGACUGUGAUUUUCCUCUAACCUGAGAAGAGACGUAAGUGCGGUGGCCAUAAGCUGAUCAGACCCUUGUCUUUUCCUGCCUGUGCGCGCAUGCUCCCCCCUCUACCGAAAAGAAAAAUAAGUGUGUGACCGCAUCUCAUGCCGCUCUGAGAGUAUAACGCUCACGAGGAAUAGCUCCCACGUUUCGUGUGCACGUGUGUGUGGAUCAUCUUGCUCGUGCGGUGCUGUGACCACCCCUUCUUAUUUGGUGUGUGCCUGUGUCUGUGUGAAUUUCUUUGUUGACCAUCAGAGGCUGAUGCUGGUGUGGCACUGAUAUAGUGGUUUCACGGCCAUUUCGCUUUCGCUCGGCCUGGCAGUAGUGGAGGACUCCCCUGCGGGCUUGGUGCCUUGACAUGCCCGUGUUUUUUUUUGGGGGGGGGAGGGUCUCUUCCGUGUUUCUUGUGUUUUUUUUUGGUUAGUAUGCAUCGAAGGGAUGCCAUCAAUGCCGAUGCUCGGCUCCUGAUUCUAUGGAUAUCAACGUGAUAGAGGAGAGCCCACGAGGGCUCACUAUCGAGAAAAGAAAUGUGAAGGAAUGCGUAAUCAGCGACCAUGAGAGGUGAGGGCACUAAGAACACCGGCACGUAAGCAAAUCCCUCUCGAGGCCUGAAGUGAGCCGCGUAUUGCGUGUUCCACGAAAUAUGCCAAAGCGUCUCCCUCCUCAGACCGGCCGAUCUUCGCGACGCCUAUACCUUUCAGCUCUUUCUUCUCUGGCGUUCUGUGAAUCUGUCCGGUGUGUCUUGUUUCUCCUUUUUUUGUGUGUGCGGCACUCUCCAUUUGCCCCUUGGCGUUUCACUUUGUGGCGUUAAAACAGGCACUCGCUGGCCCAACGAAAGGCGUCAGAGAUGUUAAGAGAGACAGCGAGAAAGUGGGAAAGGGCGGGCGCUAAGAACAGGACAAGCGACGGUUUAGAAAACGAAAAAAUGUGUGACUGAUGUGUGGGAAGCGAUUCGCGCAGAACAACAUGGUCACCGAAAAAGAAGCGCGAAAAGAAAAAAGAAAACAGCGGAGGACGCUUACUUUUUCCUUUGAUUGUUCUGAGGCGCCUCUGUUGUAACUCCGUUUCCUUUCUUAUCUUUCCUUCUUCACUCACCUUUGCAUCUCCGACUUCGAUGGAUCAUGUAUGUCUGUGUGCGCCUCGGUCUCUGUUGUGGCCUCUUCGUCUCUUUCCUGUAUGGCUAAGCGGCAACUCACGAGCAUCUCUUUCUCCGUCUCUUUUUUUUUGUAGUGCGUCGCUUUCUCUUUCUUUCGUGAAGCAACAACCUCCACGAGGGCUCUUUGUGCCGCGUUCUGUACCGUAUAUAUGUCUCAAUGUCUUUUUCAAUAUUUCGCGCUUUUCCUAUGCUGGACGAUGACGAUGACAUGCUGAUGUUUGGCAGGAGGCGUGGCUUACUACUCGACCCGACGGAGGACGAAAAAUGAGCCCGAAAAGGUGCCAUCGGAGGGGCGAGGGUCAAGGCAAAUCCACCUUUCACGCAUAGUGACCGCGCUGUGCCAUGCAGAAGGAAACUGUGGCAAAAAGAGAGGGCUUUUAGGAGGAAUCGAGCGCGCGUACCACCCUCAGCGGUGCUCACUGACAGACACACGCACACACAAUCGAACCCCUUGCGAGUCGUUUGUUCAGAAAAAAAGUCCUUUCACAUACCUUUUUGUGCAGUUUUGUGCCGUUUUAUCAUCCGCCUCUUCGGGUGCCCUUCUAUCGACUGACGUCCUCUCCUUUUCUUUCAGUGCCCCCCUUACUUGCUCUCCAUUUCCCCUGCUGCUGGCGUUUCAUUGCGAAAGCAGGCGGCUGCUCCAAGAAGUACAGAGAAAAGGGGAAGAAGAGAGCCGAGGCCUCGCCCCCUCCAUUCUUCACGUCCUUGUAUAAGUCAAGAUUCCUGACUCUUUCCUUUGUUUUCCAAGGCGCACAUGUGUGCGAGAUGUGCCAUGGACGCCGUUUCACCCUAAGAGCAUCUCUCUCCCCUUCCUUCUUGUUAUUUCUACCUCUUCUACUUUCUUUUCUGUUUGCGCUGCUCUUCUCUGUUCCUCUUUUUUCUUUGUGUGGGAGUGCAGCCGCACCGGAGGUCUCUUGUCCCUCGCUCUUUUUCUCUGCCUUGUUCUCACACUCUCUCCUUUGGUCGGCUCUCUCUCUCCCUCUCUCUGGUUCAUUACAUGUCGAUGUAUGCAAUUGCAAGUGUUUUUUAUUUCUUUUGCCCACGCGUGUACUCUCUUUUCUUGUUUCUUCGUCUGUGUGUGAGUGUGCUCUUUUCACCCAUCGGCUGCUUCUAGCAGAUGGGCUUCGUUUGUUUGUUUGUUCUUGGAGGCCUGCAACGUGCGUCACCCGCGCCACACUCAUCACCACUUCCUCCGUCUCACGCCUCGGGGUCUGUCUGUGUCCCCCCCCUUUCCGUGUGCUGCGCCUCUUUCAUGCUGCAGCACCUCUUUUGGUUACACACAUAAGCGCCUGCGUGUCUUGUCCAGGCUAUGAAGAAAAGGAAGGAGGGAGAGAGGACGGUGGAUGCGUUGGCCACACGGUAGCCAGGAAUCGGAAUCCAUAGAAAACAAACAAAGACGAAGUGAUGUCGUCUCUACAGAGCCGCGGGCCCAUUCAUCGUACGUCUCUCUGUCGCUCUCAAUAUAAUUGGUGAAGACCUAAGAGACAUAGUUUCGUGCUGUAAGAUUCCUUUGUCUGCUUCCAUCCGCGAACGUGCUUUGUGAUGCAUUUUUCGCGCAUGCAAAGGCAUUUCUGCACGCCUGCUUAUAGUUUGUUGACAGCGACAACUGCGUGAAGGUACGAUAUAUAGAGGGAUAGAGAGGCAGCAUGGAAGCCGGAGCUAUGCCCAUUCUCUCCCCGAAACAUCUACUUACGGAACACAAGUACACUCUGCUCAUGGUCAACAUGAGUGCCGAGGAAAAAAAAACGGCGUUGGGUGUGUGGGGAUUCAUAACGUCGGUUUUUUCUGAAUUAUUUCUUGCUACUCAUUACUAUUUAUUAUUUUUUUUUUGGUUCCCCCCUCCCCCACACCUACACACUCCUUUGGUUGUCGUGUCCUCGGGCUCGCUUCGUUCUCUAUCUUCUGGUUUGCCCCUCUUUUGUGUUUUUUUUUUCUCAUUGUCUUCCUAAUCAAAAAGAAACAUGAACGCGCUGCUGCUUCUCUACUUUUUUUUUUGCUGGUGAUCAGGCCGAAUAUGCAGCGUGCUAAUUGGGUCAUGCAAAAUAACCACAACCACAACGACAAAAACAAAGAGUCGGAAC